rnacentral:lncRNA from 1 species
AGAUAACAUCAUCAGGGAGGCCCUCCCGGAGACGGGGACAUUUGAGCUGAGAUGCAAAAGAUGGUAGACACACAAAGAGCAGAGAAGGAGAGCAGGGGAGUGGAGGAGCCAAGAUGGCCGAAUAGGAACAGCUCUGGUCUACAGCUCCCAGCGUAAGCGACGCAGAAGACAGGAUCCUACAGGACAUUCAAUCAUCACGUCUCCUUAGGCCCCUCUCAACUGUGGCAGUUUCUCAGACUUCGUUGUUUUUGCUCUUUCUCUUUCACGUGGGGAGAGUGUGGAACGGCUCAGUUUCUCCAGCAAGGAAUCCUCCUGUCCUGUCUAAAAGGCAACCUGCAUCCUAGGAGCAAAGAGAGGGAAAAGCACUGAGGAGUACGGCCAUGCCAUAGGCAGAUUUGCAAUUAAUUCUCUCGCUUGCAGCCCUAUGACUAAUUCUGGGCCAGGCCGUGCAUAUUGUCUCCAAAUCCUGAGGCUCUUGCCUCCCAUUCUCCAAAGAAUAAUCAGCCUCCUGCCUGGGGGGGUGAUUACACAGCUGCUAGGGUUCUAUGCCUGAGCCGUAAGUGAGGUACACAGACUGUUUCCCAUGUUAACAUAUUCUUCAGUUUAUUCCCACACUCUCUGCUGUACUGGAUUCCUCAGUUUCGGAGCUUCUCCAGGAGUCUACAGGACUAACUUAUUGUCUCCUUGUUAGUACCAACUUCUUGCUUGUCCUUUAAGAUAUGAUAUCCUCAAUCUGGUUAUAUCAGACACCUUUCCUACAUUCCUUUCCUGUCUUUUGAAAUAUGAUUGAAAUAUUUCAUCAAUUAAUGUCUUCUCUCCUAUUCUCUUUGUACUUGCAAGCUUAAGCCUCUUUUAUCUUUUCAAAUAUUUUAGCAGGCUCUCUGAAAGGAGAGGCUAUAAACUUCUAUGUCUAUUCUUCUAUCUUUAAAUUCAACAAGAGGCAGAACACUUUCAUGGUUAAGUUAGGCCUGCAUUUAAAUCCUGCCUCUGUCACAUACUUUUCUAAGACUUAGAAAUUUGCUAACCUCUGGAAACCUUGACCUCCUUUCUGUAAAAUGAGAACCUACCUCAUUGGGUUGUUGUGAGGAUCAAAUAAAAUAUGUAUGGUUGGCACGUA